UGAAGCAGGUCAAGCUUACCAUUGUGAAGGC
rnacentral:piRNA from 1 species